rnacentral:rRNA from 1 species
CUACGGGACGCACCAGUGGGGAAUAUUGCACAAUGGAGGAAACUCUGAUGCAGCAACGCCGCGUGGAGGAUGACACUUUUCGGAGCGUAAACUCCUUUUAUAUAGGAAGAAGAUGACGGUACUAUAUGAAUAAGCGCCGGCUAACUCCGUGCCAGCAGCCGCGGUAAUACGGAGGGCGCAAGCGUUACUCGGAAUCACUGGGCGUAAAGAGCGUGUAGGCGGAUUAAAAAGUCAGAAGUGAAAUCCUAUAGCUUAACUAUAGAACUGCUUCUGAAACUCUUAAUCUAGAAUAUGGGAGAGGUAGAUGGAGUUUCUGGUGUAGGGGUAAAAUCCGUAGAGAUCAGAAGGAAUACCGAUUGCGAAGGCGAUCUACUAGAACAUUAUUGACGCUGAGACGCGAAAGCGUGGGGAGCAAACAGGAUUAGAUACCCUGGUAGUC